rnacentral:rRNA from 1 species
UGGGGAAUAUUGGACAAUGGGCGCAGGCCUGGUCCAGCGAUACCGCGUGGGUGAAGAAGGCCUUCGGGUUGUAAAGCCCUUUUGUUGGGAAAGAAAUCCUAUCGGUUAAUAACCGGUGGGGAUGACGGUACCCAAAGAAUAAGCACCGGCUAACUUCGUGCCAGCAGCCGCGGUAAUACGAAGGGUGCAAGCGUUACUCGGAAUUACUGGGCGUAAAGCGUGCGUAGGUGGUCGUGUAAGUCUGUGGUGAAAUCCCUGGGCUCAACCUGGGAACUGCAGUGGACACUGGACGACUAGAGUGUGGUAGAGGGUAGCGGAAUUCCUGGUGUAGCCGUGAAAUGCGUAGAGAUCAGGAGGAACAUCCAUGGCGAAGGCAGCUACCUGGACCAACACUGCCACUGAGGCGCGAAAGCGUGGGGAGCAAACA